GUGUAGAGCUCAAUAUUCAAAUUUCCAUUUGUUUUGAACAACACUCCAUGGCCUGCGGUUCCCUUGAGAUACCUUAAAAUUCUAUGAGCUGCUUCCAUGUGGGCAACUUGUGGUUGAUGCAUGAACUGUCUAACCACUCCAACAGCAUAAGCUAUAUAUCAGGGCGAGUGUGAGAGAGAUAAAUCAAUUUGCCCAUGAGCCGUUGAUACCUUUCUUUGUCUGCAAGCUCUCCAUUAAGUUCCAUAUGCAGGUGGUUGUGGUUCAUCAUCAUUGGAGUUUGCAUUAUGUGUCUAUCGCCUCCGUCAAUCAAAACCGUAGCAGAAACCGAAGAAUUCUAGGCUUUAUGAUGUAAUAUGUAGUUAAAAGGGCAAGGUGGCAAACUUGUAAAUAAGGAGAAAUCCUUAUAACCUUAUGCCUAUAAAUAGGGAGCUAUAGUGUUAGAUUUAAGACUUUUGCUCAUUUGACAUUUAGAAGAUCUAAUCUUAGAGAGAGAAAG
rnacentral:lncRNA from 1 species